AGAGUUUGAUCAUGGCUCAGGAUGAACGCUGGCGGCGUGCCUAACACAUGCAAGUCGAGCGAUUUACUUCGGUAAAGAGCGGCGGACGGGUGAGUAACGCGUGGGUAACCUGCCUCAUACACAUGGAUAACAUACCGAAAGGUAUGCUAAUACAAGAUGAUAUAAGAGAUUCGCAUGGAUUUCUUAUCAAAGCUUUUGCGGUAUGAGAUGGACCCGCGUCUGAUUAGCUAGUUGGUAAGGUAACGGCUUACCAAGGCGACGAUCAGUAGCCGACCUGAGAGGGUGAUCGGCCACAUUGGAACUGAGGCACGGUCCAAACUCCUACGGGAGGCAGCAGUGGGGAAUAUUGCACAAUGGGCGAAAGCCCGAUGCAGCAACGCCGCGUGAGCGAUGAAGGCCUUCGGGUCGUAAAGCUCUGUCCUCAAGGAAGAUAAUGACGGUACUUGAGGAGGAAGCCCCGGCUAACUACGUGCCAGCAGCCGCGGUAAUACGUAGGGGGCUAGCGUUAUCCGGAUUUACUGGGCGUAAAGGGUGCGUAGGUGGUUUCUUAAGUCAGGAGUGAAAGGCUACGGCUUAACCGUAGUAAGCUCUUGAAACUGGGAAACUUGAGUGCAGGAGAGGAAAGUGGAAUUCCUAGUGUAGCGGUGAAAUGCGUAGAUAUUAGGAGGAACACCAGUAGCGAAGGCGGCUUUCUGGACUGUAACUGACACUGAGGCACGAAAGCGUGGUGAGCAAACAGGAUUAGAUACCCUGGUAGUCCACGCCGUAAACGAUGAGUACUAGGUGUCGGGGGUUACCCCCCUCGGUGCCGCAGCUAACGCAUUAAGUACUCCGCCUGGGGAGUACGCUCGCAAGAGUGAAACUCAAAUGAAUUGACGG
rnacentral:rRNA from 1 species